rnacentral:rRNA from 1 species
GAUGAACGCUGGCGGCGUGCUUAACACAUGCAAGUCGAACGAAGCACUUUAUUUGAUUUCCUUCGGGACUGAUUAUUUUGUGACUGAGUGGCGGACGGGUGAGUAACGCGUGGGUAACCUGCCUUGUACAGGGGGAUAACAGUUGGAAACGGCUGCUAAUACCGCAUAAGCGCACAGCAUCGCAUGAUGCAGUGGGAAAAACUCCGGUGGUAUAAGAUGGACCCGCGUUGGAUUAGCUAGUUGGUGAGGUAACGGCCCACCAAGGCGACGAUCCAUAGCCGACCUGAGAGGGUGACCGGCCACAUUGGGACUGAGACACGGCCCAAACUCCUACGGGAGGCAGCAGUGGGGAAUAUUGCACAAUGGGCGAAAGCCUGAUGCAGCGACGCCGCGUGAGCGAAGAAGUAUUUCGGUAUGUAAAGCUCUAUCAGCAGGGAAGAUAAUGACGGUACCUGACUAAGAAGCACCGGCUAAAUACGUG